rnacentral:misc_RNA from 1 species
UUUUGAAGUGAAAAUAGCGCAGACGUUUGUAUAUCAGGUUGUGAAAACAAAACCUAGCCAAUGGGUUCCGCAGUCUUAAAGGAUUUGAAAUGAAUUGAACUCAAACUCAAGGACCAGGAGGGCACAUGUAAGAAACCAAAUACAAGCCCUGCUAUCAUACAACAGAGACGAACCUAUCCUCUUACAUUUACAAGAGCACCUAAUAAAAUGACAAACUAUACCUGCUAAAACCCAAAAAUUAGAACAAACAUAAAACGAAUUGAACUGCAAAAGGCAGUAAUAGCAUAGAUAUCAAAAUUGAUGCUUUUUUUUUUUAUUUCAAUAAAUGCAGCUGCGGAACUGGCCUUUAUCACUUCUAAUAAAACUUCUCCACCACUCUAUGCUGCUUCUCUGUAUGAAGUGCACGCUUGUACCCCCCAGCUAGAAAAUGCUCAUCUAGUCUUCUUGGCUUUGGCCAAUUUCUUCGUUCUUUUCUUUACAGCCUUCGGAAUUUUAGUUUUCCGAGCUUCUCUCUUCUCUUCUGUAACUUUCUUUUUGUUCUCUUUUCUGGCAGUUUUUUUAUCAAGAGGAUCCUUUUUCUCAACUUCUGACAAGGAACCACUCUCAUCUGACUCACUCGAGUUCUCUUCAUCAUCUGUCUCAGAAUCAGAUCCACUCUCAGGAGCAUUAGAAUGGCCAUCCUCAUUUACGGAAGACUCCUUUUGAUCGUUUUCGAUUGCAGAAGAUUGAACUUUGGAAAGAGCCUCCUUUAGUCCUGUAAUGGUGUGAUAGUACAUAACUUUCGUAUUCUUGCCGCUUGUUAUCCGUAUUACAUCCUCCUCAGCAUUCUUGACAUGAUCUAAUGUCUUUGGAAUAUAUGACUGCACAAAUACAGAGUCUGCAAUUUCAUCCUCUGCUGUGACAUCUCUUGAUAAAAUUUUUUGUAGAACCUCUUCCAAGUAACUAUCAAUAGAAUCAUCAGUAAUGGUUGGAUCAACUAUGAAGUCAAAUAAUUCUCGAAUCGUCAUGACAGCUACACCAUGUUUCCUAAAAAAAUCAGAUAUAUGAACACAAUCUUCACGUAAGAAAUCAAAGGCACGAGGAUGGUCAAGAUCUACUGCUUGAGAGACAUCAAUUACAUACAAAUGGCCCUACAAACAGGAGGAACUAUUCAGAUCAAAUAUCCAGAGUUAUGCCUGUGAUCAAUCAAACAUCCCCAGUCAACAACUCUUCUCAAAAAGGAGGUUUCAUAUAUCAUCUUUCCUCUUUUUGGGUGCAUCAAAACCACGCAGAAGGAAAACAUGUUAUCUGUAUGGUAAGGAAGCAAGAGACAUUCACCUCAAAAUAGAGUAUAUUAUAUUCACUAAGGUCACCAUGCACCAGUUUGCACUUCUGAUACAAAGUCCGCAUUGCAAUAAUCAUCUGACAAAGACAAAAAACAAAGUCCUUACAAACAAAAAAAACAACUGUUAAACCCUUUCUUCUUUUCUCCAUAUAACAUUCUAUUGGGCGCAUAGCUGAUACUCCAUUGACCCUAUCAUUUCCAACAGAAAUCUCCUGUUAAACCCCUCCAACCUGAUCAAACCAAAUUAUAAACCCCAAAGGCUAAAUAUGUAUCAACAAGUUCAACUUGAAAAGCUAAGUUUCUAUAACACUACUAAUUAUAAAUUCUAUAGUUGUUUUAUUCAAAUUAAACAAAAUAAAUGAAUUACUAAAAAUGUCUGUACAGACCUCUGCAUAACCUUCACGUAAUUUAUCCAAAGAUAAGGCAGCAUCCUUAAGUCGAGGUGCAGCCCAACCAUCUUUUCCUAUAAUAAAGAUUAUCAACCAAAAGAAUAGGUCAAUAGUAUAACAAAAUCAAAACUCCUCAUUGCAUAUAAAAGUGUGUAAGUGUGUGUGUGUGUGUGUG